rnacentral:tRNA from 1 species
AGCCCUGAGGUGUUAGUCAUGUUGAAUUGCAAAUUCAAAGGAGCAGCUUCAAUUCUGCCGGGGCUU